ACUGUCUCUUACGGACUAGCCAAUGAAAUUGAUCCUUCAGUACAAAAGCUGAAAUUAACCCAUAAGACGAGAAGACCCUGUGGAGCUUCAAAACCAAAACCACUAAACAUGCCUCCUGGUUUUUUAGUUGGGGCGACUUUGGAGCAAAAAAAACCCUCCAAAACAUAAAUCUAUUUAUUAAGAACAACACACCAAAAAUAAUAUUAUAGACCCAGCAGUAUUAAUUUACUGUCUGAUCAAUGAACCAAGUUACCCCAGGGAUAACAGCGCUAUCCUCUUCUAGAGUCCUUAUCGACAAGGGGGUUUACGACCUCGAUGUUGGAUCAGGACACCC
rnacentral:rRNA from 1 species